rnacentral:rRNA from 1 species
GACGGAGGAUGCAAGUGUUAUCCGGAAUCACUGGGCGUAAAGCGUCUGUAGGUGGUUCAAUAAGUCAACUGUUAAAUCUUUGAGGCUCAACUUCAAAAAUCGCAGUCGAAAACUAUUUGGACUCGAGUAUAGUAGGGGUAAAAGGGAAUUUCCAGUGGAGCGGGUGAAAAUGCGUAGAGAUUGGAAAAGAAACACCCAAUGGCGAAAAGCACUUUUACUGGGGCUAUUACUACACU